AAGUCGUAACAAGGUUUCCGUAGGUGAACCUGCGGAAGGAUCAUUACCACGUUCCAAACGUAUCAACCAACGCGAAUUGUUAUUCUCUCCCAAUAUAGAGAAUGAGCUGGAAUGGCGGGCAGCGUGUGUGUGGAGCUCUUCGGAGCUGCGCUUCUGCCACUACUUAGCUUCGGCUAGACAGCUGUAUUUUUAUAUUGGCUAUUCCGUCUGCUCAGGCUGCCUCACCGGCUUGUGCAGUACGGUAUUUUACAAUUAAACACGAUAUUCACCGCUUUUGCUAGUUGACUUUUAAUUAGUUGCUUGUCAUUCUUCGGAAUGCUUGCACACGUUUAAAUUAUUUGAACGUAAAAACAACUCUUAGCAAUGGAUGUCUCGGUUCUC
rnacentral:misc_RNA from 1 species